rnacentral:lncRNA from 1 species
UAUCAGAUUUGGUUCUGAUUAUAUUCAUAGUUACGUUAUAUAAGCAGAGAAUUGUUAUGAACCCUGGUGUAGCCAAAAGUAAGUAGUGUAUCUAGUUUCGAAUUUUGAGAAUCUUAAGAUCAUAUAUGUACUUGAGUUUAAUUUGUGACAGGUUUUAAACUAGUAUUACUUUAAAAAAAAUCUAGAUAUUUUACUGGUAGAGCCGAUGUUACAAACAAUUUCAGAGCGUAAGAAAUUGGAGCAAUCCUGGUCACGGUCCACCGUCCACAGAACAUAGCAAAAAGCUAAUGGAAAACUAUCGAAUAAGAUAAUUUUCCACUAACCAGAGACCACAG